GGCCAUAGCUCAGUGGGAGGGCAUCUGACUUGCAUGCGGAAGGUCCCCGGUUCAAUCCCUGGAGAGCCA